rnacentral:sRNA from 1 species
GCUGGGCAUGGUGGUGCGUGCCUGUAAUCCCAGCUACUCGGGAGGCCGAGGCAGGAGAAUUGCUUGAACCAGGGAGUCGGAGGUUGCAGUGAGCCGAGAUCACGCCACUGCACUCCAGCCUGGUGACAGAGUGAGACUCUGUCUCAA